ACGGAAGGCAGCAGUGGGGAAUAUUGCACAAUGGGGGAAACCCUGAUGCAGCGACGCCGCGUGAGUGAAGAAGUAUUUCGGUAUGUAAAGCUCUAUCAGCAGGAAAGAAAAUGACGGUACCUGACUAAGAAGCCCCGGCUAACUACGUGCCAGCAGCCGCGGUAAUACGUAGGGGGCAAGCGUUAUCCGGAUUUACUGGGUGUAAAGGGAGCGUAGACGGCUUUGCAAGUCUGAAGUGAAAGCCCGGGGCUCAACCCCGGAACUGCUUUGGAAACUGUAGAGCUAGAGUUCAGGAGAGGUAAGUGGAAUUCCUAGUGUAGCGGUGAAAUGCGUAGAUAUUAGGAGGAACACCAGUGGCGAAGGCGGCUUACUGGACUGUAACUGACGUUGAGGCUCGAAGGCGUGGGGAGCAAACAGGAUUAGAUACCCUGGUA
rnacentral:rRNA from 1 species